CCUACAGGAGGCUGCAGUGGGGAAUAUUGCACAAUGGGGGAAACCCUGAUGCAGCGACGCCGCGUGAGCGAUGAAGUAUUUCGGUAUUUAAAGCUCUAUCAGCAGGGGAGAAAAGGACGGUACCUGACUAAGAAGCCCCGGCUAACUACGUGCCAGCAGCCGCGGUAAUACGGAGGGGGCAAGCGUUAUCCGGAUUUACUGGGUGUAAAGGGAGCGUAGAGGGCGGUGUAAGCCAGAUGUGAAAGCUUGGGGCUCAACCCCGGGACUGCAUUUGGAACUGUGCUGCUAGAGUGUCGGAGAGGCAGGCGGAAUUCCUAGUGUAGCGGUGAAAUGCGUAGAUAUUAGGAGGAACACCAGUUGCGAAGGCAGCCUGCUGGACGAUGACUGACGUUGAGGCUCGAAAGCGUGGGGAGCAAACAGGAUUAGAUACCCCUGUAGUC
rnacentral:rRNA from 1 species